rnacentral:tRNA from 1 species
GUCCAUAUCAACAUGUUCUUGGGUGAAACCAAGAGUAAAGCAAGGAUGUUGGAAUGUCCCUGGUAACAAAAUGACUGUGUCACAUCGUCACAAGCCCUCCAGGGGGAGGUGGUGCCAGCAACACGGGAAACCACGUGGUCUUUGCUGAUCGGGGAGGCUUUUGAGAGCUGAGUCUGUGCCAUGAACCUACAGCCAACGGAGCACAGCCAGCAGGUUGGCAGGAGGCUUUGCAAAUGAGCCGGACGAAGGUGGAGUUGCUCAGGAAGCACGGGAGGUCAUGGUCAGCCCGUAUUUGUUCUGAGCCUACGCCCAGAUCGACAUCUGGCCAAGGUCUCCCCAUCACGAUGCUCGGAUAAAGAAUGUUCCGUAACUUUCCUUUAUUCUCCUCAAGGUACAUGCAUAGAGUUAAGUUUUUUAAUUUUUAUUUUAUUGGAAGUUCCCAAGGCAGGGAUUGAACCUGUACCGCAGCAGCCACCCAAGCCACUGCACUGACAGUGCUGGAUCCUUAACCUGCUGAGCUACACGGGAACUCCAAAUUCAUAGAAUUAAAAAAAAAAAAAUCCAUAUAUUUCUCUAAAGAAAAAACUAGGGGAGUUCCCGUCGUGGCGCAGUGGUUAACGAAUCCGACUAGGAACCAUGAGGUUGCAGGUUCGGUCCCUGCCCUUGCUCAGUGGGUUAACGAUCCGGCGUUGCCGUGAGCUGUGGUGUAGGUUGCAGACGCGGCUCGGAUCCCACGUUGCUCUGAUCCCUCUUGAGUGAGGUCGUGAACCAUAAAUGCAGGUGCAGCGCUACAGGCGCAAGGCCGAGCCGCACCACCCCACCCGGGCUGCCCCGGCCCCCGUGUUGUCCCUCGCCUGUCGGCACAGCAUUUCUGGGUUUCUCCCCCUCAUUCACUCCCACUCACUCAUUACUGCCGUGCUUCUAGAACAGGAGUUCAUCAGAGGAAGGGCUUGGCUAGCGCGCUGCUGCUCCCAGCGUGGAAUGGAUGCUCAGUUCUGCCUCUGCGGGAACACGCUGUCCAGGGCCUUCUUCUCCAGGGAGCCAAACCGUGUCUCAGGGAUGGCGGGUGUCUUCGUCCAGGAGCCACUUUCAGGCUUGAGGACCCUGCGGAUGAGGCCACUGUUUCUGCUUGGCCGGGCGCGCAUUCGUUUUCACUGAACCGUGGCUUCCCAGCUGAAGCGGUCAAGCCUAGCGGUUCAGACCACGGCGGGAAGACACUUAAAUCCGGGUUUAAAUGCAGCUUCUGCAACGUGCCAGCCGUGCACAUCUUGGGAAGGUAUUUAACCUCGUAAAGCCUUCGUUUCUUAGGCUGUAAAGUGGGGAAUCAUACCGAGUUGUGGCGAUUCAAUAAAAUGAUACCAGUAAAGCACAAAGCACAGGAGGUGGCACCUAGAAAUGCUGCGGAAACUCUUCCUAUUUCAGUAAGAUCUGAAGGGGAGGGGGGGAGGCAGUGACUGGUUUCCUGGGGCGGUCACUGAAGUAUCUGUGAUCACUAUUUUAAAAUAGCCUUGCCGUGUGACCUUUGACCUUUAGCCCUCUCUGCUGCUGCUGAGGUUCCCCGGGGGAACCUGAGGUGCUGCAGAAGCCCUACCCCCGGGGUCAUUCGCUGCGGCUUCUGCAAGAUAAACAGAAACCACAAUCGAGUCUGCUGCUCUUUACAGAAGCUAGUUUUAGAGUCCUGGCUUCAUAAUAACCCUGGUACCACUUCCUCUUUUGCCCCCACUCUUCCUUUGGUGGUUUAGUUACAAAAGGACAAGUCAACCUAAGACACUAUAUAAGUCAUCCACCAGCGAUGGAAUCGGGUGGUGAGAUCUGAAGCUGAGAAAAGGUCUGAGUCCAGCUGCAUCCCUUGCUGCUGAGGAAGUUAAUGGACCUCUUUGGUUUCCAGAAGUCCCAGGGAUCCCGGGACAUUCAGGACACAGACGCCGCCCCCCCCCCCAACCAGACAGCCCCCUCUGGCUGGGCUGUGGCCUGGACUGGGGACAGUCACACAUACCAUGCCCAUCAGCUUCAGGAGUGGAUGGCAAACACCGCCGAGUGGAAAGUAACUACAGGACAGAAGGACAGAGGAGGGAAGGGAACCCAGGAAGCCGCACCCACUGCUCUAUUAAAAAGGCUCUGGUGGCAGCGAGGACUUGAGGGGGACAGUCAGGGAAAAGCAGAAAUCCAGGGGAAGGGAUGGGAGGGGAGACUGGUGGGGGUGGGGCUGGGAGGAGAGGUCACAGGGGUCCCGCCCUAGCCUGGCUCACCCAGGGAGGGGCAGGGGACUCGAUCCCCGCCCCCCGCCCCCACACACACAAGGCUCUCUGAUCAGCCUCUGGGCAACUCUUGCUCGUCCUUGGACCUCGGACCCCCUCCCAAACACCGAUCUCCCUCCGAUCAGGGCGGGUCUGGACCCUCCUUGCGGUCCUCACACCUAGCCCCACCUCCAAACCUCAGUCUGCCCUGAGCUUGAUUCAGCCAGAGCCGGAUGAUGAAGGUGCGUGUGUGCUGAUGACCUUGACAAGCCGUUUGUUUCUUCACCAGCCUUUUCUU